rnacentral:rRNA from 1 species
UGAGGAAUAUUGGUCAAUGGACGGAAGUCUGAACCAGCCAUGCCGCGUGCAGGACUAAGGCCCUAUGGGUCGUAAACUGCUUUUGUGGUGGAGCAAUAAGGUUCACGUGUGGACCGAUGAGAGUACACUACGAAUAAGCAUCGGCUAACUCCGUGCCAGCAGCCGCGGUAAUACGGAGGAUGCAAGCGUUAUCCGGAUUUAUUGGGUUUAAAGGGUGCGUAGGCUGUGCUGCAAGUCGGAGGUGAAAUAUCCUGGCUCAACCGGGAGGGUGCCUUCGAUACUGCAGUGCUGGAAUACUGUUGCCGCGGGAGGAAUGAGUAGUGUAGCGGUGAAAUGCAUAGAUAUUACUCAGAACACCGAUUGCGAAGGCAUCUCGCGAAGCAGUUAUUGACGCUGAGGCACGAAAGCGUGGGGAUCAAACAGG